UUCUCUAAUUUCAAACGAUGAAUUUAAGUAUUGCCUUAUAAGUGUAUCCUACCUACUGUUUGUAAUAUUUUUGUUGUGGGCCAACACAGGAGCUACGUAAAGAUGGUUUUGACCUUGCCGUUGCUCGAUACAAGGAGCUGAAACCAAUCCUUGAUGAGUUGGCCAUUUUAGAGGCGGAGCAGAAGGCUGAAGAGGAAGAAGGGCCUGAAAGUAGUAGUCUGAGAAAGAGAGGCAACAAGAAAAACAAACAUUUAGCAUCAAAGUAGUUUUAAGAGCUUUUUAAACGUUUGCCAUCAAUAGAGAUGUAAAGUAAUUCAGUUGGUUUAGUUGUAAUAUUAAGUUAAUAAUUAUUAUUUAAAUGGAUAAACACAAACGCAAAGAAGUGCACACGCGCGCAUACACGCGCGCUCACAAACACUCGAAUGCUUCACUUUUUCGUUUCUUUUUCUGAGCCAUUGCUGUGCUUUAAACUCUCCAGCCAAUUUGCUCGUUCUGAUUUUGUUUAAAAUUUGAAUUUAGGUCUUUUUCUGUUUUUGUUUUUGUGAAGUAUAAGAGCAUCAAAUAUUCCUGA